UACAGAGGGGGCAAGCGUUGCUCGGAAUCACUGGGCGUAAAGGGUGCGUAGGCGGGUCUUUAAGUCAGGGGUGAAAUCCCAAGGCUCAACCUUGGAACUGCCUUUGAUACUGGGGAUCUCGAGUCCGGAAGAGGUGAGUGGAACUGCGAGUGUAGAGGUGAAAUUCGUAGAUAUUCGCAAGAACACCAGUGGCGAAGGCGGCUUACUGGUCCGGUUCUGACGCUGAGGCGCGAAAGCGUGGGGAGCAAACAGG
rnacentral:rRNA from 1 species